AACGUACGCUGGCGGCACGCCUAACACAUGCAAGUCGAACGCAGUAGCAAUACUGAGUGGCAGACGGGUGAGUAACAUGUGGGAAUCUGCCUUGUGGUUCAGGACAACAUUGGGAAACCGAUGCUAAUACUGGAUAAGCCCUUACGGGGAAAGUUUUAAUGCCAUAAGAUGAGCCCGCAUUUGAUUAGUUAGUUGGUGAGGUAAUGGCUCACCAAGACAAUGAUCAAUAGCUGAUCUGAGAGGAUGAUCAGCCACACUGGGACUGAGACACGGCCCAGACUCCUACGGGAGGCAGCAGUGGGGAAUCUUGCACAAUGGAGGAAACUUUGAUGCAGCGAUGCCGCGUGAGUGAAGGAGGCCUUUGGGUUGUAAAGCUCUUUUGUAGGGGAAGAUAAUGACUGUACCCUAAGAAUAAGGUCCGGCUAACUUCGUGCCAGCCGCCGCCGUAA
rnacentral:rRNA from 1 species